rnacentral:miRNA from 1 species
UCUCGCAGCUGCCGGCGUCAUUUUUGUGAUUUGCAGCUAGUAAU